rnacentral:rRNA from 1 species
GACGAACGCUGGCGGCGUGCUUAACACAUGCAAGUCGAACGGAGUGGCGAACGGGUGAGUAACACGUGGGUUACCUCCUCUGCACUUCGGGAUAAGCCUGGGAAACUGGGUCUAAUACCGGUUAGUGUGGGAUGGGCCCGCGGCCUAUCAGCUUGUGGGUGGGGUAAUGGUCUACCAAGGGGGCGACGGGUAGCCGGCCUGGGCGGGUGGACGGCCACAUUGGGACUGAGACACGGCCCAGACUCUUACGGGAGGCAGCAGUGGGGAAUAUUGCAAAAUGGGCGGAAGCCUGAUGCAGCGACGCCGCGUGGGGGAUGACGGCCUUCGGGUUGUAAACUCCUUUCACCAUCGACGCGGUAGAUGGAGAAGAAGCACCGGCUAACUACGUGCCAGCAGCCGCGGUAAUUC